GGAAGGACCUAAGGACAUACCCUCAAGCCCUAUGAAUAGCAUUCUACUGGUGGAAAAGGGCGGGAGCCUUGUCAUGUAACCUGCAGGUGAUCCUAAAUAGAGCCUCUCACUGGGAGAGAUAUCAUGGAUCCUGGAAUUCUAAGCACUAAUAACCCUGAAGUGAAAGAAACUUUGCCUGCUUGAUCCAGCAUGUCCCACCCCACCCUCCCCAUACAUAAACUGUGAGAUGUCAAAGGGCAUUGGAAAAUUUUUUUCACAAGCCUGGGAAAUACUGGGUUACACUACAGAGAUCCCUGUAUAGCCUGAACUCAGCCCCAACACUGACUUACUGAUGGGACAUCAAUUGGAAACGAGAGACUGGCUGGCCAGAGACAUUUCACUCCUCUCCCUUGGAGGAGCCAGAACAGUACAUCUGUGCAGUGGUGGGAGAGAGGCAGAUCUGGAAGCCUGCCAGGAGUGAAUCACCUUUGUUCUACAGUGUAGGACGUGAAGGAGAAAUGUCACCCAAAGGCCUAAGAACAAAGAAGAGCAAAGCAGUUCUGGGCGAAGGUCAUCCGAAGAGAAAAGUGUCUACAGUAAAAGGCAGGGCAUCAGGAGAGCGGGCUCUCAGACAGGCCUAAGCAGGGCCUGUGCAUCUUGACCAUUUCAGAUGUGAAGACUGCAGGAAGAGCAGCUGACCAGACUCAAAUCCUGUCUACUUAACAGCAUCACCUUUUCACCUCAGCCCCCAAAAAUGCACACAACACCCUCCAACACAUGUGAGCAACUUCAUUCUGGCAAAGAUCAAAAAUCCACAAAUUAUUUGGUUUUAAAAUAUUUACAUGGCAGUAAGUCAGAUGAAAUAUUAAUGCAAAAAAAGAAAUAUUAAUGCAUCCUUUAAGAACUCACAGAAAACUCAUUUUUAGAAAAAAAAUGAGAAUCCCUAGGUACUUAUCACAUAAUGGCUUAUAGAAAACCUAUUCUCAGAGCAACACACACACACACACACACACACACACACACACACACACACACACAUCACACACACCCCUUCUCUUUCUGAAGAAACCAGAAUUCGCCAUCCACAGCUGCCCUGAGAAAAUGAGCAGUGCCACCCGCCCCUAAGGAAAGGCAGCAGAGGACCAGCAAGCAGCAAACUUAAAGCCGGAGGCUGAUCGCAAGUGUCCUAAGAGGUGCGUGUGUCCCUUCCAUCCCGCCCUGCAUCACAGCCAGCUGGAAUUCUGGCUCCUGGGGACAAUGCCUGCUGCCUCCAGAGAAAGACUGGAUAUAAAGAGGAGUGUGCCUCAGUUCACUGUUACUCCUUUUGUCAAAAGGACCGGCAUGUGCUGGUAAUUCUGUCCACACCUCAAGGAUUUCCAAAACCCAGGAAAUGAGGUUCAAAACUUAAACGCCAAGCUCCCAGCAGUAGGCAGUCUCCCCGAGAUCUCUGUCCUCCAAAUUCUAGAAAAGAGACAGCCAGACAUGCACACCCAAAGGACUCCUGCCAGGGAAGCAACAAUGCACCCUGCUGCAACCCAGGGUUGCUGUUUCCGCAGUUCUGGUCAAUCCCUCUGUGGAGAGUUACCUGUGUUACCAGGCUCUUUGUGAUGCUUCUGUGCUCAGAAACCCACAUCCAGAUCCCAGUGCCAAAGAAAAAGACUCAGCUUUCACAAGAGAUGCAAGAGAGGCUGUGCAGAAAUAGAUGGGCUCUACCCUGCUCCUCUUCUCAUUUAUACUGAUGACCUAAAGAAGUGCUAAUUCUACUAUGGUGGGGCUUAGACACUUGGUCUACAACUCAGGGGUGGCAGGGCAGGCAGAUGCUCAGGCAGGAUUUUGGGCUCCGCAGGUAGAAUGACUUGUACCUCUGGCACACACCCAACCCUGCUACUGUACUGCCAACACCAUCACAGAUGUAGAUAGCAUAGCUGUGUCCCAAUGAGACUGCAUUUACAAAAACAGGCAGCAGGCCAUAGCUGGCAGCUUUAUAAGAUGAUCUAGACCUCAGCCUUCCUUCUGCGGAGAAAACCAUCCUGAAUGACAAGUUGGCAUCAAGACAUGAAAGACCCCUGAACUUUCAUAGAAGAAAAGCGAUCAAGACCCCUGCUCUGAAACCUGAGG
rnacentral:lncRNA from 1 species